CCACGGAGAGACUCUCCACGGCGGCGACGAUGACCGUUUCUAGGGAAAUCCGGUGAUCUCGGUCGAUGGUGGACAAAAAGGGAUGGUUGGUGGGUUGUUAGCUCUGUAACUGGGAGGUGGAGAUCAGUGCACGGUCAAUUUGGAUGACGGGGAUAGGGACACAGUGAAUUUUAAAGGGCCGAUGACCCACGGUGAAAACACAGGCGAUGAGCUUCACCGAGCCUCGCUGGCCUUCACGGGUGACGCCGAGCACGAUUCUUUUCUAGAGACCAGACACGUCUCGCCAUGGCUAUGAUGUGGUUAAUUCGGCGAUUUCAUGGACCAACGGAGGGAAGCGGCGUCGGUGACCCGGUACGGUCAUAAGGGCCAACAAUCGCGUGGCGGCCAGGGCGUUCACGCGCC
rnacentral:lncRNA from 7 species